AAUUUGACCUCAAAUCAGGUAGGACUACCCGCUGAACUUAAGC
rnacentral:rRNA from 1 species